CAGCACUGUGAAAUGGGCUAUACAAGUUCCAGAGAUGAGAAGAAAGGAUGGGACAGCAGAAUGAAGACAAUUCAUAAAGGCAACUACCCAAAGAUGCCCAGCACAGGACCCCUUCUGUGAGAAAAAGCUUCCUAUAGCCACAGCAGCUACAAAUAUAACCCUGCAGAAAACUGAAAAGCAGCUCUGUGUUGAGGACUUUCCUGUAAGAAGUUUACUACAGUGUGUCAGAGCUCGUAGAGCUCUGCAGAGAGCCUUCAUGAAUCCGUUUGGUGGAACUUCUGAACUGGGAGUAUUCACAACUGAAACCCAGGGAAAUUGGAAUGCUUUAGAUGCCAAAACAUGUUUACUGAAGGCAACACUGACUCUCUUACAAGGCUCUGCAGAAAUCUGCCAGUUGAAAAAGCUGUUAGCUUGCAUUCCUGAUGUCUGCAUGGUAUCUAAAUUGUCCUUGUGUUGAACUCCCAUUGCCAUCAAUGAGGCACAUCAAAGAUAAUGACUAUUAGAGAGCCAUGAAGGAAGCCAUGACUGCUGGUGGCCAACAUGCUACCCUGGAAAGAGGUAUUCUGAAAAGAGGCCUGCAUCUAUGCUUUGACCUGUAAAAUGUGCAUGGAUGAUUUCAACAUCAAGGAUGGUACAGCCUUGAGAUACAAACUUUAAUGGAGCCUAAUUGAUGAUUGAAAACAGGGAGAUAACUCAUUGUGGUUUGGUUCAAGGCAAGAAGAGGGGAUCAUGCAGCAGUGAAAAAAUGUAUUACAAAAUAAAAAUAGCCUGAUCAAAGUUAUCUUGAUCUCUGAUGGAAACAGAAACUCUGCACCAUGCUGAAGGAAAUGAAAUAUGGAAAUUCAAACAUCCCAAUUUCAGCCUUAGCCUCCCUCUGUC